GAUGCACACCCCACUCCUACAGUGGACCAACUAUCGUCAACAUCUACUACAAGAAUUCAUUAAGAUCCAUGUUGAUGUGUCAGUCAAACUCCAGCAACCUCACUACGUGCAGUAGUGUCAUCUCAAGUCAAAAGACCAGUCAUACAACUGCAGCAUCGAGAAAGUCACUAAUAAGUGAGCAGACAUUCAUGUGACUUCUCAUGUUGGUCACACUCAGUGCUAGUUGUUUUCUAACAACCACCAGCACUCUCGCUCCAAUAUCUCUACACUGCAGACUCGAGAUCCAUCAGUCCGAAAGAAGCGAUCCGUGCACUGAUCUAUCCAGAUCAAUCACCAUCUCCAUGAUGAUCCUAUGACCAGAAGCAAUUUAGAAAUUAACCAUCAAUGACAUAUGUCUCAAAUUCUCAACUCUAUGAGAAUAUAUAUCAUCAUCUUGUUAAUCCCUUGGAUGAUUUAUGGAUACAUAAAUAUGAAUGGUAAUAUAACUGUCCAAUAAGUAUAAAAUCAUAUCCUAAAAAUAUGAAAUGUAUCAGUCAAGAUUGACUUCUAAGACAUACAUCCAACAAUCACAAACAUAUGCUUAGAAUAAAUAAAAUACUAUAGAAGCUUCAGCUUACUUGGAUGAAGCACUCAGCUUUUUUUCUUAUUGCCCCACGUG
rnacentral:lncRNA from 1 species